GACGAAGGAUGCAAGCGUUAUCCGGAUUCAUUGGGUUUAAAGGGAGCGUAGGUGGCCUUAUAAGUCAGUGGUGAAAUCUCUGGGCUUAACCCAGAAAUUGCCAUUGAUACUGUAGGGCUUGAGUAUAGAUGCCGUUGGCGGAAUAUGACAUGUAGUGGUGAAAUACAUAGAGAUGUCAUAGAACACCGAUUGCGAAGGCAGCUAACGAAACUAUAACUGGCACUGAGGCUCGAAAGUGUGGGGAUCAAACAGG
rnacentral:rRNA from 1 species